GAUGAACGCUGGCGGCGUGCCUAAUACAUGCAAGUCGAGCGAACAGACGAGGAGCUUGCUCCUCUGACGUUAGCGGCGGACGGGUGAGUAACACGUGGAUAAUCUACCUAUAAGACUGGGAUAACUUCGGGAAACCGGAGCUAAUACCGGAUAAUUUAUUGAACCGUAUGGUUCAAUAGUGAAAGACGGUUUUGCUGCUACUUAUAGAUGGAUCCGCGCAGCAUUAGCUAGUUGGUAAGGUAACGGCUUACAAAGGCAACGAUGCGUAGCCGACCUGGGAGGGUGAUCGGCCACACUGGAACUGAGACACGGUCCAGACUCCUACGGGAGGCAGCGGUAGGGAUUCUUCCGCAAUGGGCGAAAGCCUAACGGAGCAACGCCGCGUGGUUGAUGAGGGUCUUCGGAUCGUAAAACUCUGUUAUUAGGGAAGAACAAAUGUGUAAGUAACUAUGCACGUCUUGACGGUACCUUAUCAGAAAGCCACGGCUAACUACGUG
rnacentral:rRNA from 1 species